GAUUCAGCAGUCUAUACAUGCAGUCUAAAGGGCAGCAAUGUCCUUGGCGCACGGGUGCGUAACACGUAUGCAACCUGCCCACAACUGGGGGAUAACCUUCCGAAAGGGAGGAUAAUACCGCAUAAAACAGGGGCCCCGCAUGGGGAUAUUGUUAAAGCUACGGCGGUUGUGGAUGGGCAUGCGGACGAUUAGCUAGUUGGCGGGGUAACGGCCCACCAAGGCGACGAUCGUUAGGGGAACUGAGAGGUUGGUCCCCCACACUGGCACUGAGAUACGGGCCAGACUCCUACGGGAGGCAGCAGUAGGGAAUAUUGGUCAAUGGGCGGAAGCCUGAACCAGCCAUGCCGCGUGCAGGAAGAAGGCCCUCUGGGUUGUAAACUGCUUUUGACAGGGAACAAGGAGUCCAUGCGUGGGUAAGUGAGUGUACCUGUAGAAUAAGCCACGGCUAACUACGUGCCAGCAGCCGCGGUAAUACGUAGGUGGCAAGCGUUGUCCGGAUUUAUUGGGUUUAAAGGGUGCGUAGGCGGCGGCCUAAGUCAGUUGUGAAAUACCCCGGCUCAACCGGGGGGGUGCGAUUGAUACUGGGCGGCUCGAGUAACAGCGAGGUUGGCGGAAUUGACGGUGUAGCGGUGAAAUGCAUAGAUAUCGUCAAGAACACCGAUAGCGAAGGCAGCCAACUAGGGGUUAACUGACGCUGAGGCACGAAAGUGCGGGGAUCAAACAGGAUUAGAUACCCUGGUAGUCCGCACUGUAAACGAUGAUUACUCGAUGUUGGCGAUAGACAGCCAGCGUCCAAGGAAACCGAUAAGUAAUCCACCUG
rnacentral:rRNA from 1 species